CCUGCUUCCCCCUGACCUGGUGGAGAGUAUUCCCUCUGAGGGGUGUCUGGGCCCAGGAGAGAAUCAGGGGCCUGGGUGUUCAGUGAAUGUGCCAGAUACUGCCUGCAAGCAACAUCUCAUUUCGUGCUCACAUCAACCUGUGAGCGGCCCUAGGAAACCAAUACAGCGAUCUACUGGCACCUCAAACUCAACACGUUCCAAACAGAGAUGAUCACCUUCCUUCUCACGCCUAUGCUUCUGGCAGGUGCCCUUCACCCAGACUUGAAGUCGGAGCUUCAUCCUCAUCCACUCUGUGGCAAAUCAGUGCCAACUUCUAUU